UACGUAGGGAGCAAGCGUUGUCCGGAUUUAUUGGGCGUAAAGAGCGUGUAGGCGGCCAGGUAGGUCUGCUGUGAAAACUCGAGGCUUAACCUCGAGCUGUCGGCGGAAACCAUCUGGCUAGAGUCCGGAAGAGGAGAAUGGAAUUCCCGGUGUAGCGGUGAAAUGCGCAGAUAUCGGGAAGAACACCCGUGGCGAAGGCGGUUCUCUGGGACGGUACUGACGCUGAGACGCGAAAGCGUGGGGAGCGAACAGG
rnacentral:rRNA from 1 species